AACGAACGCUGGCGGCAUGCCUAACACAUGCAAGUCGAACGAAGGCUUCGGCCUUAGUGGCGCACGGGUGCGUAACGCGUGGGAAUCUGCCCUUAGGUUCGGAAUAACAGCUGGAAACGGCUGCUAAUACCGGAUGAUAUCGCGAGAUCAAAGAUUUAUCGCCUGAGGAUGAGCCCGCGUUGGAUUAGGUAGUUGGUGGGGUAAAGGCCUACCAAGCCGACGAUCCAUAGCUGGUCUGAGAGGAUGAUCAGCCACACUGGGACUGAGACACGGCCCAGACUCCUACGGGAGGCAGCAGUGGGGAAUAUUGGACAAUGGGCGCAAGCCUGAUCCAGCAAUGCCGCGUGAGUGAUGAAGGCCCUAGGGUUGUAAAGCUCUUUUACCCGGGAAGAUAAUGACUGUACCGGGAGAAUAAGCCCCGGCUAACUCCGUGCCAGCCGCCGCGGUAA
rnacentral:rRNA from 1 species